AGCAGUAGCCACGGGAAUACGUAGGGGGCAAGCGUUAUCCGGAAUUACUGGGUGUAAAGGGAGCGUAGACGGUUAAACAAGUCUGAAGUGAAAUGCCGGGGCUCAACCCCGGAGCUGCUUUGGGAACUGUAGAACUGGAGUGUCGGAGGGGUAAGCGGAAUUCCCAGUGUAGCGGUGAAAUGCGUAGAUAUUGGGAGGAACACCGGCGGCGAAGGCGGCUUACUGGACGACAACUGACGUUGAGGCUCGAAGGCGUGGGUAGCAAACAGGAUUAGAUACCCGCGUAGUCCCUGUCUCUUAUAC
rnacentral:rRNA from 1 species